rnacentral:rRNA from 1 species
UACGUAGGGUGCGAGCGUUAAUCGGAAUUACUGGGCGUAAAGCGUGCGCAGGCGGUUUUGUAAGUCUGACGUGAAAUCCCCGGGCUUAACUCGGAACGGUCAAGUGAUACUGUCGUGCUAGAGUACAGAAGGGGCAACUGGAAUUCUCGGUGUAGCGGUGAAAUGCGUAGAUAUCGAGAGGAACACCUGAGGCGAAGGCGGGCUACUGGGCCGAUACUGACGCUGAUGCGCGAAAGCCGGGGAGCAAACGGG